rnacentral:lncRNA from 1 species
GGCCGAAGGAGAAGUUGACUACGAGUAUGAUCAUAAGAUGCCGGUUCAAUGAAGAAGGCUCGGAGGAGAGAGAGGGUUCGACAGAUCAGAGUAAGUGCCGGCCAUAGUCUCAGGGGAGCAGGGAAAGAGCCGAGGUCAAGGAAGAGGUCAUCAUAGAGGUACUGAAAAAGGACAGUGGAGGUCACAAGCGAGAAAACGUCGCACUGUUAGGUGCUUUAUUGCGACCAGGAGUGGCAUAUCAAAGAGGGAUGUCCAAAGUAUAAAGCACAGGAUCGUCUUAGAUACAGCAGCGGACAACAGUGAUGGCUGUGGAUGAGGAUGAGUUGACGUUCUCCUAGCAGCAUCGGAAGAUGCGAAGUAGAUUGGGAGAUGGAUUCAGGCAGUGCUUACACUUGCACCAGAGAUAAAGAGGUGUUCUCUACAUAUGCACCAUGCGAGGCACGUAUAGGAUGGCGAACAACACGUCAUAGCCAGAGUGUGGCAGAUGGGGGGUAGCCGGUUCCGAAUGGCAGAUGGAGUCUGUGACGUUGACUGAGGUAAGGAAUGUCCUAAUCUACGGAAAAAAUUUGAUUUCUAUUGGGAUGCUAGAUUCAAAAGGAUACAGUUUGAGGCUAGUGGAGGAACUCUCAGAGUUUUCAAGGGAAAAAAGAGGAGAUGCUUGGGGAAAGAAGCAUGAAGUGCUAUACCGAUUAGAGGGGAGUAUGCAGACAGGGGCGAAGCUACUGUCGACAUUAGCCAGUAGUAUUAGCGGGAGAUAUGGGACAAGGGAAGCCAGACCAUUGCACAGAGGUACGCAAAGCAAGGCAGGGUACCUGGAGGAUCCGAAGUGGUACAGAGCGCCGGAAGAUUGCUUUGGGAAUAGUACGGAAGUCUGCCAGACACGAGUGGUGCAAACCAGUGGGAUGUCCAUAGAGAAGCUCAGAGGAGGAGACCAAGUCAAUUUUGAAAAGCUUGUACACCGAAGGAGUCUCUUUUGCUCUCGAUUUGAUAAAUGGCGGUGAUCUCUCCAGUUGUGGAUGUACAAGGAGGAGAGAUGGAGCCACGAAAAAACUGCAAAGUGAAGUACUUUGCGGCGCACCUCGGCGGGGGGUGGGGGGUGCAAAGCACCUCGGUGAGAAGGUGCAGGCACUCGGUGUGGUGAGGCUGCAGACACUGCGGUGGGAAGUGGAGUAAGCAUGUUGAUGAGGUAAGGUUAUCUCGGAGCAUGUCCUUGCAGUUCUUAUGGGGGAGUUUGACCGAAGACCGUCAGGAAGGACAACUUGGAAGGGACAGAUUACCCUCAAUGGGCUGAAGGAGGAAAUUGUUGAGUCCAACCCAUCUGGAUGAGUCCAAGCCUACUUGGAUGAGUCCAAGUCCAGUAGCAAGCCCAAGCCCGAAUUGGAGUUCAUAUGGAGUGUCCAUGUGAGGGAAACUCUCGAGUAUUAGCACUCUUGGAGAGUCUUAUCUUUUGUUUUCAUAGAUAGAUUAGGUAAUGAUUAGGUAUUCUGGUAGGAGUACAGCACCUCCUUCCCUGGUCUAUAAAAGGGAUGUAGGGGCUAGAUUUUCUACGUGCGUUGUGUUGUGGGCUGAGAGCAGAUUGCUGUGAGGUGAGAUGGAGAGGCAAGACAGAGCGAGUGUGAGCGAGGGUGUGAGUUGAGAGGUGAGUCUCUCCGUGUAAUCCAUUCGUUGAUAGUGCGCUUGGUGAUUUCUCUCCGGGAGGUAGGCAUCAUUGGAAGAACCCGUUAACCUUUAUUGUCUUGUGUGUCUGUGAUCCGAAAUUAGUUGUGAGCACAGCAAAGUGACCCCAUUAAAAUGCGGUCCGGAUUGGUCCGAAUGGUAUGAAUCCAAGGAACGAACCAAAAAUUUACGGUUCAAAGGUAAGAAAAUUCGUGUGCAGACCAAAAUCUAAAAACGGUUUGGUUUUUUUGAAAAAUCAAACUUUUACAUUUUGAUCUAGGUUAAUCCACGGAUUGUUACAUUCUAUCUAUCCUACCGAAAUUAAAAAAGAUUUUUAGUAGCACCAUAAUAGCGGUAGUAACCUGAUCAACAAAACCGAGCAUUAAAGCACAAUUGACGUAUUUAUAAGUAUUAAAUAGUGAUGCAUAUCUAUGGUUUGCAUGGACCAAUUUACGACAACCGUCUGUAUGAUCCAUUCAGAUCACCAAAAAUGAUACUGUAUCAAGCCUGCCGAGCAGCGACAAAUCCCUAAAACGUGCAAGUUAUUUAAAAUACAAUAAAAUUACACUUGUCCACCCCUAACUGCUAUAUAUACCACAUUGAUUAUUUAGGGUAUAAGUAACAAUAUUCUUAUCCUACAUAUUUUUAAUAGAUAUAUAUAUAUAUAUAUAUAUAUAUAUUAAUUAUAUUAAAUCUCACGGUCGGUUCGGUUAUCACGUUUCGUUAUAAAAAAUUCAUGACCGAACUAGAAUUACGUUUUUUCCUAAUUUUUUCAUCCGUGUCCAUACCAUUAAUCCACCGGGACUCAUAAAAAACCUACAGACGUUCGGUUGCGGUUCGGUUU